rnacentral:rRNA from 1 species
UACAGAGGGGGCAAGCGUUGUUCGGAAUUACUGGGCGUAAAGGGCGCGUAGGCGGCCUGCUAAGUCGAACGUGAAAUCCCCGGGCUCAACCCGGGAACUGCGUCCGAUACUGGUUGGCUUGAAUCCGGGAGAGGGAUGCGGAAUUCCAGGUGUAGCGGUGAAAUGCGUAGAUAUCUGGAGGAACACCGGUGGCGAAGGCGGCAUCCUGGACCAACACUGACACUGAGGAGCGAAAGCCAGGGGAGCAAACGGG